rnacentral:rRNA from 1 species
GAUGAACGCUGGCGGCGUGCUUAACACAUGCAAGUCGAACGUAAAUGCUCUGCUUUUGUGGUGUGCUCGAGUGGCGAACGGGUGAGUAACACGUGAGUAACCUUCCCUUGACUUUCGGAUAACUUCAGGAAACUGGUGCUAAUACCGUAUAUGAGCUCCUGCUGCGUUGUGGCGUUUGAAAAUUUUCUGCGGUUCGGGAUGGACUCGCGGCUUAUCAGCUUGUUGGUAUGGUAGUGGCUUCCCACGGCUUCGACGGGUAGCCGGCCUGACAGGGUGACCGGCCCCAUUGGGACUGAGAUACGGCCCAGCCUCGUACGGGAGGCAGAGCUGGGGGAUAUUGAACAAUGCGCGGAAGCAUGACGCAGGACCGCCGCGUGCGGGAUGAAGGCCUUCGGCUUGUAACCCGCUUUCGCCUGUGACGAAGCCUGAGUGACGGUACUGGGUCAAGAAGCUGCGGAUAACUACGUG